GACGAACGCUGGCGGCAUGCCUAACACAUGCAAGUCGAACGAACACUUCGGACUUAGUGGUGCACGGGUGUGUACCACGUGGUAACGUCCCGUUAGGUUCGCAAUAACUCACGGAAAGGUAGGCUAAGACCAAAUGUGCCCUUCAGGGCUAAGAUUUAUCGCCAUUGGAGCGGGCCGCGUCUGUUUAGCUAGUUGGUUGGGUAACGGCUCACCAAGGCGACGAUCCUUAGCUGGUAUGAGAGGAUGACCAGCCACCCUGGGGCUGAGACACGGACGAGACUCCUACGGAAGGAAGCAGUGGGGAAUAUUGCACGCUGGGCGAAAGCAUGACGCAGUCAUGCCGCGUGAAUGAUGAAGGUGUUAGGAAUGUAAAGUUCUUUGAAAGGGGACGAUAAUGACGGUACCGGGAGAAGAAGCCCCGGCUAACUUCGUG
rnacentral:rRNA from 1 species